GAGUGGUCUCUCUUCUUUCAGCCCCUCUACAGUCAAAACCCAUUCCUAUCAUCUCUUUCUCUGCGAAACCCUAGUAACUGCAACUUCUGCCCAUCAUGGCGACCAACUCCCCGAACCUCGAAUGCCGAAUGUACGAAGCCAAGUACCCGGAAGUAGACCAAGCUGUGAUGAUACAGGUGAAAAGCAUGGCUGACAGCGGUGCCUACGUUGCCCUUCUAGAGUACAAUAACAUAGAAGGAAUGAUCCUUUUCUCUGAGCUCUCUCGUCGUCGUAUUCGGAGUAUUAGCAGUCUUAUCAAAGUUGGACGCAUCGAACCGGUUAUGGUUCUUAGGGUUGAUAAGGAGAAAGGAUAUAUCGAUCUCAGUAAACGAAGGGUUUCUGAGGAAGAUAUUUCGGCUUGUGAGGAGAGGUAUAAUAAGAGUAAGCUUGUUCAUUCAAUCAUGCGUCAUGUUGCUGAAACCAUGGGAAUUGAUCUGGAGGACUUGUACAUUCAUGUAGGUUGGCCUUUAUACAGAAAAUAUGGUCAUGCUUUUGAGGCA
rnacentral:misc_RNA from 1 species